rnacentral:miRNA from 1 species
UGUAUGUAUGUGUGCAUGUGCAUGUGUGCACGCAUGUGGGUAUACAUACACAUGUAUGUGCAUGCCCAU